UCGCCUGUUUUAUCAAAAACAUAGUUUAAAGAAAAAAUUUUAAAUGAAUCCUGCCCAGUGAAUAUUUUAAAUGGCCGCAGUACCUUGACUGUGCUAAGGUAGCAUAAUCAAUUGGCUUUUAAUUAGAGUCUGGAAUGAAUGGAAUGAUGAAGUAAUACUGUCUUAACUAUAUUUUUAUAAAAUUAUUUAUAAGGUGAAAAUACCUUAUUUUAGAAAAAAGACGAGAAGACCCUUAGAGUUUUUAAUAAAUAAAUACUAGUAUUUAUAGUUUUUUGUUGGGGCGACAAAUAAACAUUUAAACUUUAUAUUUUUGUAAUAUUACGAUUUUUAUAAAAAAAAUAAAACUACCUUAGGGAUAACAGCAUUAUUUAUUUAUAAGAUUGUGACCUCGAUGUUGGACUAGGAACUUUAUGGCUAGCCGUCAAAUAAGAUUUGUUCUGUUCGAACAAUUAUAUCCUACGUGAUCUGAG
rnacentral:rRNA from 1 species